AUGAACCUAGACCUUGUUUCUAAGCAUCGAGACAUUGUUUUUACUCAGUUUUGUUACUUACUACCUUGUUGUUUUUAUUAUUUCAGAUUACAAAAUCAUAUUUCUACCAUCCAUAUUACACUUACUGACGACGCUCAUCAGUCAAUCGUGCAACCCCCCGUGUCCACUUCGAAAUGCUUGAUGAGAUCUAGCAGGUUGCCAAGCGAUGACCCGCCCUCUUGUACGGCUGCCCUGGCCUUCUCCGAGAGCACCAGCGCCUUCCUCCUCCUCUCCUCCCCCUCUCCUCCUCCGUCCAUAAUGCUCCUGACGGCCGCCUCCACUACCUCUCUCCCCACCACGACCCCCUUCUUCGCUACCCACAGCAACGGCUCCUUAAUCCCAACGCUGACGCCGAUUCCCAGCACCUCCACGGCCAGCUUCUCGUUCAGAAACUGGUCCGAGAAGUGCGGCCAUGUCACCACCGGCAGCCCGGCCGUGAUCGCCUCCAACGUCGAGUUCCACCCGCAGUGCGUCACGAAGCCGCCCACCGCCACGUGGUUCAAAAUAAGCACCUGUGGCGACCACCCUCUGAUCAGCAUCCCGCGGCCGGCCACGCGCUCCUCGAGGUCCCGCAGGAACUCGCGCACGUCCUCGCCGUACUGGUCGGGGUUCUUCAGAACCCAGACGAACGGGUGCCCCGACGCCUCAAGCCCGAACCCGAGCUCGACGGUCUGCUUCGGGUCGGCAUGCACGAUGCUUCCGAAGCUGACGUAG
rnacentral:rRNA from 1 species